rnacentral:tRNA from 1 species
ACCUGUCUUGCUCAAUGAGAAAAGCAUGGGACUCUUGAUCUCAGGGUUGUGAGUUCAAGCCCCAUGUUGGGUG